AUUGAACGCUGGCGGCAUGCCUUACACAUGCAAGUCGAACGGUAACAGGUCUUCGGAUGCUGACGAGUGGCGAACGGGUGAGUAAUACAUCGGAACGUGCCUAGUAGUGGGGGAUAACUACUCGAAAGAGUGGCUAAUACCGCAUGAGAUCUACGGAUGAAAGCAGGGGAUCGCAAGACCUUGUGCUACUAGAGCGGCCGAUGGCAGAUUAGGUAGUUGGUGGGAUAAAAGCUUGCCAAGCCGACGAUCUGUAGCUGGUCUGAGAGGACGAUCAGCCACACUGGGACUGAGACACGGCCCAGACUCCAACGGGAGGCAGCAGUGGGGAAUUUUGGACAGUGGGCGCAAGCCUGAUCCAGCAAUGCCGCGUGCAGGAUGAAGGCCUUCGGGUUGUAAACUGCUUUUGUACGGAACGAAAAGCCCCGGGUUAAUACCCUGGGGUCAUGACGGUACCGUAAGAAUAAGCACCGGCUAACUACGUGCCAGCAGCCCCGUAA
rnacentral:rRNA from 1 species